rnacentral:sRNA from 1 species
UCUACUACUAGGCGUUGAUGUUUUCGAU